rnacentral:rRNA from 1 species
UGAAUACGAGACGCUAAGGCGUCGAAGUAGUGUAUAUCAGACUUCCAAGAAAAGCUUGCACUGUCAUAGAUAAAAAAUGCCUGUACCAUAACCGACACAGGUGGGUAGGUAGAGUAUACUAAGGGGCGCGAGAUAACUCUCUCUAAGGAACUCGGCAAAAUAACUCCGUAACUUCGGGAGAAGGAGUGCCUUAUUUAUAAGGUUGCAAUAACAAGAUCCAAGCAACUGUUUAUCAAAAACACAGGUCUCCGCUAAGUCGUAAGACGAUGUAUGGGGGCUGACGCCUGCCCAGUGCCAGAAGGUUAAAGAAGUUGGUUAGCAAUUGCGAAGCUGAUAACUGAAGCCCUGGUGAACGGCGGCCGUAACAAUAACGGUCCUAAGGUAGCGAAAUUCCUUGUCGGGUAAGUUCCGACCCGCACGAAAGGCGUAAUGAUUUGGAUACUGUCUCGGAGAGGGGCUCGGUGAAAUAGACUUGUCUGUGAAGAUGCGGACUACCUGCACCAGGACAGAAAGACCCUAUGAAGCUUUACUGUAACUUGAAAUUGAAAUUGGACUUUAUUCGCGCAGCAUAGGUGGGAGGCGUUGAUUAUAAUCUUGCGGGAUUAUUGGAGCCAUCAGUGAGAUACCACUCUUGUAAUGUUAGAUUUCUAACUUUGAAUCAUUAUCUGGUCAAAGAACAGUUUCAGGCGGGCAGUUUGACUGGGGCGGUCGCCUCCUAAAUGGUAACGGAGGCGUACAAAGGUUUCCUCUGAACGGUUAGAAAUCGUAUCUAGAGUGUAAAGGCAUAAGGAAGCUUGACUGUGAGACCUACAAGUCGAGCAGGGACGAAAGUCGGUCUUAGUGAUCUGACGGUACUGAGUGGAAAGGCCGUCACUCAACGGAUAAAAGUUACUCUAAGGAUAACAGGCUGAUCUCCCCCAAGAGUUCACAUCGACGGGGAGGUUUGGCACCUCGAUGUCGGCUCAUCGCAUCCUGGGGCGGUAGUACGUCCCAAGGGUUGGGCUGUUCGCCCAUGAAAGCGGUACGCGAGCUGGGUUCAGAACGUCGUGAGACAGUUCGGUCCAUAUCCGGUGUAGGCGUUAGAAUAUUGAGAGGAGCCUUCUUUAGUACGAGAGGACCGAGAAGGACAUACCUCUGGUGUACCAGUUAUCGUGCCAACGGUAAACGCUGGGUAGCUAUGUAUGGAGUGGAUAACCGCUGAAAGCAUCUAAGUGGGAAGCCCACCUCAAGAUAAGUAUUCUCAU